GACGAACGCUGGCGGCGUGCCUAAUACAUGCAAGUCGAACGGGGUAGCAAUACCUAGUGGCGCACGGGUGAGUAACGCGUGGAUAAUCUGCCUUGGAGUGGGGGAUAACUAGUCGAGAGAUUAGCUAAUACCGCAUAAGACCACAAGAGCUGCGGCUCAAGGGGGCAAAGGUUUUUCGCUCUAAGAUGAGUCCGCGUAAGAUUAGCUAGUUGGUGAGGUAAUGGCUCACCAAGGCGACGAUCUUUAACUGGUCUGAGAGGAUGAUCAGUCACACUGGAACUGAGACACGGUCCAGACUCCUACGGGAGGCAGCAGUAGGGAAUAUUGCACAAUGGAGGAAACUCUGAUGCAGCGACGCCGCGUGAGUGAUGAAGGCCUUCGGGUCGUAAAGCUCUGUCGCAGGGGAAUAACACAAUGAAUGUACCCUGUAAGAAAGGAUCGGCUAACUUCGUGCCAGCAGCCGCCGUAACAC
rnacentral:rRNA from 1 species